CUGCAUAGACAGGGUGUGGUUUGUAGGCAAGGUAGAGGCAGCUCACCUGGAGCAGCUGCUAGCUUUGUUGAGAGGAACAGACUGUCCUUGCAGUGCUUCUGUAUGUGUUCAGGAAGCAGGUGUUUGUUGUGGGGGGAGAGAAACUGAAAGUGGGGUCCCAUGGAAGCACCUCUUUUAAAUUUGACUCAGCUACAGGUUCUAUAGAUCUGCUCCUGGAGGCUACUGAUACCUUUACAUAUACAGUGAGAAGGGUGCACUGCUGGAGACGAUAAUGAAAGUCCAGGAUCAUCUACUGCUACACAAAAUGAGCCAGCCACAAAAAUAAAGAAACUGAUCUGUCCCAGUGAGGAGUCGGUGUGCAAUUGAAGUCUCCUUCAAGUAUAAUUUUCCCCUUCCUCAAAGUGUUGCAGUGUUUUAAAGAAGUCUGUAGUGAGGGGGCAUGGCCUCCGUCCCAGCCGGAUGGAGGGACAGCUGCGAUCGCCCCGUGGUGGGCAAAGCCAGGAGACCCACACCCGCCCCGCUGGAAGCAGAGGGGUGGGACAGGAACCAGAAGUAUAAAAGGCUGGCCCUCCAGCUCAGUUGGAGAGGAGCUGCUGGAGGAGGAGGAAGUAUCUCACCUGCUGCUGGAGCUCGAACCCGAGAGCAACCGCUGCAGUGCCUGAGAUCUGGAAGAACUGCCAGAGCUACCAGUCACCGUAAACACCAAGGAGUUGCUGGAGCUGCCGUUAGCUGUUUAUCCCAAUGAGGUGGAUGAUGAACCAGGGACCCAGGUAACCCCCCUUGAACGGGAGUGUAGGAAGUAGCCCAGGGGAGCUGAAUAUAGUUUGGCUGUGUUGCUGACAGCCAGCCAGCGUGUUGCAGCCAGAUUUCCCCACUGACCCAUGCAGUGGAGUUGGAUAAGCCCUCAUCCCCCUACCCCGUCACUCCACCCCUGGGGUGGCAGUGGCAGCCACCCCACCAUAGGCCAAGGGGACUGCGUUUGUUGGUGGUCUACCAGAGCCGGGACCCCCGACUGUUUGCUGUGCUGUCCUGUCUAAGGGCCUGGGCUUAUAGACUUUGCUGUCCUGCCCUGUUUGAGGACCCAGGUGUAUGGACUCCAGGCCAGAGCCUCCUGACUUUGCUGCCUGGCCUGCUUGAGGGCCUGGGCUUGAAGACUUUACUGCUUUCCUGGCUACAGGCCAGAGCCUCUUAACUGCAUGCUGCCUCGCUCUGCCUGAGGGCUGGGACUUAUAGACAUUACUUCUCUACCCUGCUGAGUGGCAGAGACCCCUAUGCUAAAUCCCCCUGAACUGUGCCCUCCCUGAGGCCUUGUAGUGAGGGGAUGUGGACUCUCUUCCAGAAGGAUGGAGGGACAGCUGCGACCACCUUACGAAGUCCUUAUAUAAAGUUUUUUGGUUUGGAGAUACACUGAGCCCACUGUUGUUAAUAACCCAGUGGUUGUGACCUUUAACAAUAUAAAUUAUCCCUCCUUGUCCUUAGAUUGAUCUUUAAUCUGAAGAAGGACAUAUUUAGCAAAUAUUUUGCCCACUCCUCUUUUCUUUUCUUUAACUGAAGCAGAAUAUGUCUGUUAACGAGUUAUCUUUCAUGCCCAUAAUUUGUCCUGUGUGGAAAAGAGUUUCUUGAAGUAGAAUAACUGAGAGUGUUUUUUUUUAAAUUCUACCAGGGCUUUUUUCCUUUUGGUGACCUCAUUUAGCCCUUUGACGGUCAAAGAUGUUAUUUAAAAAGAAGAGACACUGAGAGUAACUAUUUAUUUAGCUUAUUGGAAAAACCUGAAAUGAUUGUGAUUCUUUAGCUGUUUGACAUAUACUCUUGUGUUGCCAAUUUCUCUCAUUUCUAAUUACAUUGCAUUCACUGUUCUGUGCCUGAAUAUACCUUGGUUUCUGUUUUUGUAAACUUCCAUAUCCACUUCUUGAUUAAUCCCCCGCCACCUCCCCAGUUUCCUCCCCUUUUCUGCAUUCCCCUUACUCUAAAUCCACAAAUGAAAUACCAACAUAACUUGUAAAACAGUCCCCAAACGACUUUGCUUUGCUGAAUCUUAAACCCCUGUUCUCUCCCCAUAAGCACUUGGACUGUUUCUCUUGCAC